rnacentral:Y_RNA from 1 species
GACUGGUUCGAAAGUAGCAAGUCUUCAAUCAAUUGCUUGCAGUUACAGAUUGAUGUCCUUGUUUUACUCCCACCUCCUCACUACUACACCUGAUUGGUCUAAG